rnacentral:rRNA from 1 species
GACGAACGCUGGCGGCGUGCUUAACACAUGCAAGUCGAACGGUGAACCUCUUCGGAGGGGAUCAGUGGCGAACGGGUGAGUAACACGUGGGCAACCUGCCCCCGGCUCUGGGAUAACUCCAAGAAAUUGGGGCUAAUACCGGAUGUUCACCGCUUCCCGCAUGGGUGGUGGUGGAAAGGGUCUCCGGCUGGGGAUGGGCCCGCGGCCUAUCAGCUUGUUGGUGGGGUAGUGGCCUACCAAGGCGACGACGGGUAGCCGGCCUGAGAGGGUGACCGGCCACACUGGGACUGAGACACGGCCCAGACUCCUACGGGAGGCAGCAGUGGGGAAUAUUGCGCAAUGGGCGGAAGCCUGACGCAGCGACGCCGCGUGGGGGAUGACGGCCUUCGGGUUGUAAACCUCUUUCAGCAGGGACGAAGCGCAAGUGACGGUACCUGCAGAAGAAGCACCGGCCAACUACGUG